rnacentral:rRNA from 1 species
UGUGAAAUCCCUGGGCUCAACCUAGGCACUGCAUCCGAUACUGGCUGACUAGAGUGUGGGAGAGGAAGGUAGAAUUCCAGGUGUAGCGGUGAAAUGCGUAGAGAUCUGGAGGAAUACCGAUGGCGAAGGCAGCCUUCUGGCCUAACACUGACGCUGAGGUGCGAAAGCAUGGGGAGCAAACAGGAUUAGAUACCCUGGUAGUCCAUGCUGUAAACGAUGUCAACUAGCCGUUGGGGUCUUUAAGACUUUAGUGGCGUAGCUAACGCGAUAAGUUGACCGCCUGGGGAGUACGGUCGCAAGACUAAAACUCAAAUGAAUUGACGGGGGCCCGCACAAGCGGUGGAGCAUGUGGUUUAAUUCGAUGCAACGCGAAGAACCUUACCUGGCCUUGACAUGUCUGGAAUCUUGUAGAGAUACGAGAGUGCCUUCGGGAAUCAGAGCACAGGUGCUGCAUGGCUGUCGUCAGCUCGUGUCGUGAGAUGUUGGGUUAAGUCCCGCAACGAGCGCAACCCUUAUCCUUAUUUGCCAGCACGUAAUGGUGGGAACUCUAAGGAGACUGCCGGUGACAAACCGGAGGAAGGCGGGGACGACGUCAAGUCAUCAUGGCCCUUACGGCCAGGGCUACACACGUGCUACAAUGGUCGGUACAAAGGGUUGCUAACCUGCGAAGGGGUGCUAAUCUCAAAAAGCCGAUCGUAGUCCAGAUUGGAGUCUGCAACUCGACUCCAUGAAGUCGGAAUCGCUAGUAAUCGCAGAUCAGAAUGCUGCGGUGAAUACGUUCCCGGGCCUUGUACACACCGCCCGUCACACCAUGGGAGUCUAUUGCACCAGAAGUAGUUAGCCUAACCGCAAGGAGGGCGAUUACCACGGUGUGGUCGAUGACUGGGGUGAAGUCGUAACAAGGUAACC